AGCUCCAAUAGCGUAUAUUAAAGUUGUUGCAGUUAAAAAGCUCGUAGUUGAAUUUCUGGUGGGGGAAUGCGGUCUGACCCUUAGGGUUAGCACUUGCACUCUCCGGCCAUCCUUGGGUGGAGCCAUUCUGGCAUUAAGUUGUCGGGGUGGGGAUGCCCAUCGUUUACUGUGAAAAAAUUAGAGUGUUCAAAGCAGACUUAUGUCGUUGAAUAUAUUAGCAUGGAAUAAUAAGAUAGGACAGCAGUGCUAUUUUGUUGGUUUGCGCACCGUUGUAAUGAUGAAUAGGGACAGUUGUGGGUAUUCGUAUUCACUUGUAAGAGGUGAAAUUCUUAGAUUAAGGGAAGACGAACUACUGCGAAAGCAUUUACCAAGGAUGUUUUCA
rnacentral:rRNA from 1 species